ACUUUCAAAUACAAGACUCCAGAAAAGCAUAACAAGACCCUCAGAAUAAUAAGCGGCUCAAUCUUUCACUGACCUGCCUGGCCCACGUCUCUUCAUUUCACACUCCUCCAUUUGAUGCAACACUUGGUGGCGGGCGACAGGCCCGAACAGGAACCUCAAAAGGUACGAGGGGAGUGGCUCUCUUGGUGCUCCAGAGAAGAAAAAAGAAAAAAAGAAAACCCUUGGCGGCUCUACGCUGUGGAAAUGAGGUCCUUGGAGGCUCAACACUGGGAGGACAAGGUAAGAGAGCGAUAGUCACACGACACAUCCUUUAGCAGUUUUAGGGCUAAGGGGACACCAGGCAAGUGGGAUAUAGGAACAUAAGGAAAGAAAAGAGAAAGGGCUCGAGCAUAAGAAUAGUGUCGCUUUGGAAUGGCCACGCGCACUUACUUUCGGUUUUGGGAAGCACACCUAGGAUCGAAAGUAUGGGUCAAACACAAAGCGGAAGCAAAGACAGAGAAUAUUAUCUACAACUUUUCAAGGAAAUAGUGAAAGAAAGAGGUUUAUUUAUUACAGACGGUCAGUUACAGGAAUUUUUGGAAUGUGUAGAAACAUGCUGCCUGUGAUUCCCUCCAGAAGGAACAAUAAACUUAGAAAUGUGGGAAAUGGUGGGCCGACAAAUGAGUGAGCACUACAAGGAAGUAGGUCCAAGUGCAUUCUCCAUAGCUACAUUCUCAGUUUGGAACAUGCUAAAAAUAUGUCUUACUCCCCCAGAGAAGGUGCUAUUAACAACAAAAGUACUUAAGGCGGAUGUGGGGGCGGGAACAGAGGAAGAAGAAGAGAUGAAUAGAGUAUUUGAGGAAAAGCUUAGAACUGUAGAAGAAGAUGUUAUCUAUGCAAAAUCUAUCACAGCUUCAGCACCACCGCAUCCCCCGCCUUCAUACAGAUCAGGCUCAUACAGAGAAGAUAGUGAGGAGAUGAAUAAAAAUCAAAAAAGCCAUAAAAUACAUUGUAAAGGGUUAUUAGAAGAAGCAAUUACAAAAGCAGAGGAAAAAGGAGAGGAAAUACCCAAGGAAUUAAAAUUAGCUGUGCCAAAAACCAUGCUAUUUCCAGUAUAUGAGGAGGAAGAUGUAAAUAACCCAGGUACAAACAUCAGAAUUCAUAGACAGUUUGAAUUUAAAUUGUUAAAAGAAUUAAAACAGGUUUUAGUUAAUUACGGACCUAAUAGUCCUUAUGUACAAACACUGUUGGACGCAGUAUCCAAUACAGCAUUAGCCCCAUGUGACUGGUAUUCUAUAGUAAAGACAUGUCUUGAUCCUGGAGAUUAUUUGCUGUGGAAGUCAGAAUACUUGGAGCAAGGUCAGGAACAAGUGAAAUGUAACAACAGAACAGGAGCUCCUAUUUCUUUCAAACAAUUAACAAGAGCAGGGAGAUACACAGAAUUACAGGAACAAUGGCAAUUUCCCCUUUAAAUUCCUCAGAAUAAUAAUAAUAAUAAUAAUAAUAAUAGACAAUUUGUGUUAAGAGUUUUUUUAACAAGCCUCUAAUUUCCUUUCUUGGUGUCAUUAAGUGCACACUAUGUCACUAGGUAUUGUAUUUGUCCUGUCAGUUUGUAUGUCAGGAUGUGUCUCUGUAUGUAACUGUACUUCAUAGGAUUUUCAAUGCAGCCAGAGAUUUCUGGGGGCUGCAGCUAGGGAAGCAACAAAUUGUAAAGCUCCUUUCGUUGUGGAUCCAGGCCUGGCCAGCCUGGACUUACAGUGAAAAGCUGUAUACAGGUAGAAACAUUUUAGCAGAUUCUGAGGUUUUGAGAUUAGUCAUUAAGAAACUGGGAAAUUGUUCAUUUGGGGACUGUUGGAGAGAACUUCUAAGACUGGGGGUAAUUCCAGAAAGCUUUACAAGGAGGUAAACUUAGUAUGACUAGAGGAGAAAUGAUCCAGAGACGUCAGGAUAUAGGAACCACACAUUUUCAGGCACAAGUGAUGGCAGCAGCAUUUAAUAACACUUCAAGGACUCAAUGAAUAUUAAAAUGCUCUAAUUGUGGGAAACCAGGUCACAUAAAAAGCAAAUGUGAGACACACAAAAGGAUACCACAAAAUUCUCCCAGUACGCUCCGUCCCAAAUGUCACCGUGGUACUCAUUGGUUUUCUCAAUGUAGAUCUUUUAAGAGGAACAGAAGGGUUUGGAAGCACAGAGAUGUUUUGGCAUAGAACUAUCACAGAUGCCAGACCUACAUUAAAGAUAGAAGUACAGGGAAGAGAUUUGCUGAAACAUAUGAAUGUCACUAUAAGGAGCAAAAAUUUUUGUAGGGGUCACAGCCAAAGAUAAAAGAACAGUACAAGUUCCAAAAAUAACUUGGAAAGAAGGGCCUCCCAUAUGGGUGGACCAGUGACUGCUUGAUUUAGAAAAAAAUCAGGGCUUUUCAACAGAUAGCAGAGGAACAAUUAGCUGCAGGACACAUAGAACCAUCCACAAGUCCAUGAAACUCUCCAAUAUUUGCCAUUAAAAAGAAGUCAGGAAAGUGGAGGAUACUGAAGAUCUCAAACAGACAAAUCAUGGCAUGGAAGAACAUGUUGAGGAACCUUUGGAACUUAGAAAACUAUUGACCAGUUAUAGAUAAGUGGUUUAAGCAGCCAGAAGGUUCAUCUUUGUAAAGAAUUAAUUAAAGUAGAUCAACUAAAAACAGCUGGAAAAAGAGAAUUGUUAUUGGAUACCACAUACAGGGACUUUUAAAUACCUAAAGAUUAAACUUAGAUGUCAGCAAAAUAAUAUCAUAGUACUAAAAGAUAUAAUAAAGUCCAGAACAGGGAUCUCUAUUACUAUGGCAGAUUUAUUUCACCCCUCCAAGAAAGCAAGAUCAUAUAUAAUUUCCAAUUUCAGCUAAUUAAGAUGCUUUACAUAGGAGUAACAUGAGUGUUUCAGAUGCUGUCUUUGAUUCUGUAAACAGCCAGAGUCCCACCCCCAUUUGUUCACCAACAUUUAAUCUGUUAUCGGUUAUAUCAAUUAGUAACACUUUACACAUUUUACCAUUAUAACACUGCAUUAACAUUCUGCAUGUAUUUUAUAUAACCAGUAACUGGAUGAAAAGGCCUGUGGUGCCUCCAAAGUGUAGGAAGAAAUUUUGCCAGCAUGCGUGCCAGAUUACUGAGUAUAAGGUGCACCAGCAGCCCAUGCUUGCUUAAUUUAUACAUGAAAUGCAAUCUUAAAAUCAGUCAUUCUACUAUAGAACACCACAGAUAAUGCAUCCAUUCUCACUAAUUCUAACCAGUCUAGUGGCAUUGACUGUCCUUUGAAUAAAGGGAGAAAAAUAAUAGUGGAAUGUUUUUCAUGGUUUUCCAAAUAAAACACAUCACUGGAAUCCCAUAUAACCCCUGCGGGACAAACAAUGGUGGAAUGAACAAAUCGAUCCCUGAAAAGACUUCUUCAAAAGCAAAAAAGGGGAGAAGUAAGGGGAAGGCCACAAAGACAAUUGGCACAAGUGGUGUAUGCUCUGAAUUUUCUUACAUCUCAUGGAGAAGGCUCUACCCUGGCUGCAAAACACUUUAAGGUUUAUGGGAAAGAGAAUAAUGAAGAACAAAAGACUCAAAAAACAGUCAUGGGGAAGGACCCAAAAACCAAUCAUUGGUUUGGGCCAGAUAGGUUGUUGACCUGGGGAAGAGGGUAUACUUCUGUCUUUCCAGAUGGUGCAGAAGGACCAGUAUGGGUUCCUGAACAUAAUAUCAGGAUCUGUGCCCGAGAGGACCCAGAGACUUUGGACACUCAGAUGGCAGAACAGGCACAGAGACAAAAGAACGAGGAAGGAAUGCUCAAGACAACAGAGCAAGACCCUGGAGUUCAAUCAAAGCAUUGACUCUCACUUUCCCCUGCAGCCUUGAGGUGUCGUUUUUCUUCAGUGCCUGUACAAUGUACUCUUUCAUUUUACAAGGGCAAGCUGGUCAGAAUUGAGUCUCCUUCUCUCCUCCACCUUGGGAUGUGACUUCUUAAGGGAAGAAUCAACCCCAGGACACAUUGCUAAAGUGACUAACAUUGUACAAGAAGAGUUAUGUUUGCAUUGCUUACCACCUUGCAGGGGGGGAUUUUACAGUUUCAAAGGGAAAGCCAGUAUGCCUCUAAUGUAUUUCAGGAUAGAUGUAACUUUUGAUCAUUGUGUUAUCUGGGAUAUUGUAUCCCUUGUAUCACUUAUUGUCUCAUCAGUGUCAUUUGGCAACAGCUUCAUUGUGUUAUCUGGGAUGUUGUAUCCUUUGUGUAUUUACCAGCUUUAAAAAGCAGGAAGCAUUGGCUUGGAAUGUAUCAUUGGCAUAGUGUUGAAAUUAUUGGAGAGCUUUGAUUCUGAUUUGUCUUUUGCUAACAGUCAUUUCCCAGGGACUCAACCCCAGAACCUAGCUCAAGAAAUUUUGGAAAAUUGGGUGUAACCAAUUUAUUUGAAAAUGUACCUGCUUUACUGUUUCAA